GACGUAGGUGGCGAACGUUAUCCGGAAUUAUUGGGCGUAAAGGGUGCGCAGAUGGUCUGACAAGUUAGCAGUGGCAAAUCGAGGCUCAACCUCGUGGAAACUGGUAAUACUGUCUGACUCGAGUACAGGAGAGGUUAACGGAACUCCAUGUGGAGCGGUAAAAUGUGUAGAUAUAUGGAAGAACACCAAUAACGGCGAAGGCAGUUAACUAUUCUGUUACUGACAUUGAGGCACGAAAGCGUGGGGAGCAAAACGG
rnacentral:rRNA from 1 species